rfam:Cephalotus follicularis DNA, scaffold: scaffold3077, isolate: St1.
AAACCAUGAUGAGGACACUCUAUAAGAACAUCCUUGAAACGUUUCAUACACCAAGAAAAUGAUUCAUUGCGUUUUUGACGAAACUGGAGAAUGUAUUUCCUAAGUUU